AAGAACAGAGGUGCUGUCCACCUCUCCGAAGCACACCAUUGAUUGGGGGAGUCAGAGCUGGCCAAAUGGUGGCCAGCAGAAGAGAUGCCAUGGUCAUGCCAAGGAAAUGCGAUCUGCACGAUGUGGUGCUUGACAUUAAGUGUUGGACACAUAACUUUCCCUUCUCUGGAAUCGUCAAGACUUCUUGGCCCCCAUGAUUCUCUGCACUGGGACCCAGAAAUCUGUGUUUUAACAAGCCCUGCAGAAGAUUGUGAUGCACACUCAGGUUUGAGAUCCACAGCCAUAAUUCUUCAACCACUAAUUCCAAGUGAUGUUCCCUCCUCCUGUGUUCGGUCCUACUGUGCUGGAAGGUUCCGUCGUUUGUCUCUUAACCUCUUCCAUUCCUUUUGCUUUGUCAGAUAAUCAGCAUCUCCUCCUAGAAAACCGAAUCCCUAACAAAUUUUUCUGCCUCUAGUAUCCAUUUCCUUUGACCUUGUAGUCUUUCUUAAACAACGCUUUCAUUGCAGUCCCCUACUUCAAAUCCCUAGAGUUUUCUCAGUAACACCUGGGUGAAGUCCAAUGGUCCUAUCGUAUUUUUUAACAUUCUGCAUUGUACACAUUUCUGACCAAACUUAAGAAUGUAUUUCUCCUUUCUGCCCAAACUGAUUCUCACUUUAUGUUGUGCGCUGUUCUCAGUCUUGUCUGAUUCUUUGCGACCCCAUGAACUGUAGCCCUCCAGGCUCCUCUGUCCAUGGGAUUUCCCAGGCAAGAAUACUGGAGUGGGUUGCCAUUUUCUUCUCCAGGGGAUUUUCCCAAACCAGGGAUUGAACCAGUGUCUCUUGCAGUUGCUGGAUUAGCAGGUGGAUUCUUUACCACUCUACAGCAUAUCUUGCAUGUAUUUUUCCUCUGUGCUUUUGUAUAUGCUCUUAUCCUAGAUCUAGAUCAAUCCUCCUUAACCUUUUUUAUGCUUUCAAAUCCUAGUUGCCUGGCAAAAUUCCCUUCUUCCAGGAAGACUUCUCCAUCAACUCCUCACACCUAGAUCUCUCUCUUACUAUUCACUCCUUUCCUCUGACAACUCCUUACACAGAACUUUGUAUUAUUAUAUGCAUGCCGUCCUCAUGAACAAAAAUUUCAAUUUAUGUACCUUUGUAUCUUUUCACCCAAUAGCUUACAUGCAACAGCCUUGUGUUCAAAAACUGCAUUGGCCUGUGAGUCAUAAGACCAAAGUUUUGAAAAAUUGAUAGCCUGCUUAUCUUCAGCCUAACUGUUAGUUAGAUGAUUGAAACAUUAUUAUUUAUUCCUUGGUCAUAAUUCACUGUACUAAGGGAAAAUUACUUGCAGUGUUUUUGAAUAAGGGUAACUAUGACAAAAGGUCAUUCUCUGUGGACUCAGGGGAACUGUGAAGCCUGGUCCUAGUGAAUGGCUCUGAGAGUGAGUUUUUAGACCAGGAUAAGGAAAUGAACUUGAGCAGACUCCAGGAGAUAGUGAAGCACAGAGAAGCCAGGUGUGCUGCACUCCAUGGGGUUGCAAAGAGUUGGACACGACUUAGCAACUGAACAACAACAAGGAAAAUGAGCACCAUCUUCAGGGUGUAUCAGAGAGUUGCAAACAGUCCAGAGACACAAAGAUAAUGUUCUGGGUUUUUUGUUUGUUUGUUCAUUUUUUUCCAAUGACAUAAAGACCGAAAAGGAAAAAAAAGGAGGGAGGGAGGGAGCGGGGAAAGAAAGAGAAAGGAAAUAGAAAGGAAGAAAGGAAGUUUACCUCUUUCUGCUUGCCUUUUCUGGAACUGAGGUACGUAAUUUGGAAAAGGACAUAUCGUAUAUUUCAUCAGAUAUAUGUCAUAUGAUACAAGAAAUCUCGGUUUUAAGUUCAAGAUGAAGUCCUAACUUGCUGCAAGGUAUUCAUCAAGUUACUCAGAUUCUUCAUGCAUCAGGCGAAGAUCCAGACUGUAAGUGCUUGGCAGUAAGCUUUUUUUGAAUGUAACGUAAGUGCCUAACAUUUAGUUUCUGAUUGCCAAUGCGUCUAUUUCAAAGACACCCAUCUUGAAUAAACAUACCUCUAGCUACA
rnacentral:lncRNA from 1 species